rnacentral:rRNA from 1 species
AUUGAACGCUGGCGGCAGGCUUAACACAUGCAAGUCGAGCGAGCGGCGGACGGGUGAGUAAUGUCUGGGAAACUGCCUGAUGGAGGGGGAUAACUACUGGAAACGGUAGCUAAUACCGCAUACCAUCAGAUGUGCCCAGAUGGGAUUAGCUAGUAGGUGGGGUAAUGGCUCACCUAGGCGACGAUCCCUAGCUGGUCUGAGAGGAUGACCAGCCACACGGGAACUGAGUGACGGGCCAGACUCUUACGUGAGGCAGCAGUGGGGAAUGUUGCACAAUGGGCGCAAGAUUGAUGCAGCCAUGCGGCGUGUGUGAAGAAGGCCUUCGGGUUGUAAAGCACUUUCAUCCGUGAGGCGUUACUGGCAGAAGAAGCACCGGCUAACUCCGUGCCAGCAGCCGCGGUAAUAC